CUCUCUUAAAAUUAAUUUUUUUUCUCUAAAAAAAAUUAGUCUGUGAAUCUGAACAAAACCUGGAUCAUGAUCCACUCUUUGAUCCUUUCCUUGAUCUUCUUCUCCUCUCCCUCUCUUCUCUCUUGGAGCAUCAAUGCUCAAGUGUUGGGCAUCCCUUCUUCCUCCACGUCCAAAGACUGUUGGGCAUCCUCUUGUAUGCUGGUUCCUAACCCA
rnacentral:lncRNA from 1 species